CCUACGGGGUGCAGCAGUCGAGAAUCAUUCACAAUGGGGGAAACCCUGAUGGUGCGACGCCGCGUGGGGGAAUGAAGGUCUUCGGAUUGUAAACCCCUGUCAUGUGGGAGCAAAUUAAAAAGAUAGUACCACAAGAGGAAGAGACGGCUAACUCUGUGCCAGCAGCCGCGGUAAUACAGAGGUCUCAAGCGUUGUUCGGAAUCACUGGGCGUAAAGCGUGCGUAGGCUGUUUCGUAAGUCGUGUGUGAAAGGCGCGGGCUCAACCCGCGGACGGCACAUGAUACUGCGAGACUAGAGUAAGGGAGGGGGAACCGGAAUUCUCGGUGUAGCAGUGAAAUGCGUAGAUAUCGAGAGGAACACUCGUGGCGAAGGCGGGUUCCUGGACAUUAACUGACGCUGAGGCACGAAGGCCAGGGGAGCGAAAGGGAUUAGAUACCCGUGUAGUC
rnacentral:rRNA from 1 species